rnacentral:lncRNA from 1 species
CCCAAGGUGUGGUUCAACCAUCGUCUGAGGGUGUGUGGAGUACACAGAGCUGUGCAUGUGCCAUGGUAAUAGUGUGACAGCUUCCAGGCUCCUAACAGCCCCUGGGGACUGGCUGCAGCACCGGAGACAAAAAGCUGAGCAGAAUGCACAGAGGAAUCCAUACAAAAGCAACCUAUUGCCGUGCUGUUUGGCUGCUCUUGGCUGUCGAUGACAAGUGGACUGGUGGUGGUAGGCAGCUCCCAGGGGGAGGAUCUGAAGCACUCUAUCUGUGACACCUCGUUUAAGGAAUCGCUGCAGAGGGGGGAGGCAGGAGGAACUUACUUUGGCCAUGCAGCACCUCUUGUGCUUUACCAGGAACCAGCACCCAUGCUGGCACACUGCAGCCUGGCUUGUUCUGCUCUGAGCUUCCUAGGAGGUGGGCAGCAAGUCUUUCCAUGUACUGCCCCUGCUUUCUAACAUCGAGCAGAGAAAGAGGGAGGGAAAAAGCAACAGCGGAAUAAAAUAGAACAAACUUUUGGAGAAGAAGAGGAA